rnacentral:rRNA from 1 species
CCUACGGGUGGCAGCAGUAGGGAAUCUUCCACAAUGGGCGAAAGCCUGAUGGAGCAACGCCGCGUGGGUGAAGAAGGUCUUCGGAUCGUAAAACCCUGUUGUUAGAGAAGAAAGUGCGUGAGAGUAACUGUUCACGUUUCGACGGUAUCUAACCAGAAAGCCACGGCUAACUACGUGCCAGCAGCCGCGGUAAUACGGAGGUGGCAAGCGUUAUCCGGAUUUAUUGGGCGUAAAGGGAACGCAGGCGGUCUUUUAAGUCUGAUGGGAAAGCCUUCGGCUUAACCGGAGUAGUGCAUUGGAAACUGGGAGACUUGAGUGCAGAAGAGGAGAGUGGAACUCAAGGUGUAGCGGUGAAAUGCGUAGAGAUAUGGAAGAACACCAGUGGCGAAAGCGGCUCUCUGGUCUGUAACUGACGCUGAGGUUCGAAAGCGUGGGUAGCAAACAGGAUUAGAUACCCCAGUAGUC